rnacentral:lncRNA from 1 species
GAAUGCAUUGCAUGCAUGAACUGUAAAAUUGAUUGGGCAAAUUCCAGAUUUAAGCCUUUCCUGGUAGUUCAGCAAUGAGCGUUAGUUGAUUGGGUACUUCGAUUCAGAUGUCUAUAACCGGAUCUGAACUAUCGUGAUGUUUAGUGUUCAAUCAAACAGCUUCGAUGUGAGUGGGGCUCAAGAAUGUGAAUUUGGGAUCCUGCAAUUAGGGUUUUACUUUCUCUUUUACUUUUGAUUACUCUGUUAUUAGCAACAUUGUUUCAUUCUUCUUUUGACACUCCAUCAGGAUACUUGAGAUUGAAUAUAACUGGGUUAUUUGAAGCGUUUCUCACUGUGUCAUAUAGAUUUGUGCAUUUAGCAUCAAGCAUGUUAUAUACAGACAACUAAUAAAAAUUUGAUAAUGGCAGGUUAUGAUUCACUAUGCUUACAAUUGGGUUGUUCAUUUGACAUUGUAUAUUUCUUUCUGACAAUCUACCUUCGUCUGUGAUCGGGUGGGACUUCAUGUUAUCGUGGUGUUCUUCCUUUUACUUCUCUUUUCACAAGGAUAGAUUUUAUCUUUGUUUAAUUAGGCAUUCAUGUGAUUAUUACACGUUGCACUGUGAAGACGUGGAAAGAAGUUUGGCUAUGGGAAACUUGGGAAGGAGCCAACUGUUGAGACAAGCUUUCUGCCCUGAUAGGAAUGUUAUAUAUGUGUAGUUGAAUUUGCUGUGUUUUUUUUCUUUCAGCAGCUGAAAAGAAACUUUGUUUUACUGAUUGCUUAGCUUAUGACUUUGCGUUUGUGGCAACGAUGAUUUUUCAGGGAGAGAGAAGCAGAGGAACAAGCAGAACGAGAACGAUUAUGACGUCAAUGGCUACAUGAGCAGGAAUUGAUUAAAAGUAUUCAGAAACUUAUACUGCCAUGUAGUUUCUGCUUAUGUAGUCACUAGUUAGUGAUCAUGUAGUCAGGGGGCUGGGGGAGCGCGGCGCCGAAGUCAUCUCCUCCUCCCCUCGUCGGCCGUCGGAUGGUUAACUUAAAGAGUAGGAGGGGGAGGGAGAGUGAGUA